GAUGAACGCUAGCUACAGGCUUAACACAUGCAAGUCGAGGGGCAGCAUGGUCUUAGCUUGCUAAGGCUGAUGGCGACCGGCGCACGGGUGAGUAACACGUAUCCAACCUGCCGUCUACUCUUGGCCAGCCUUCUGAAAGGAAGAUUAAUCCAGGAUGGGAUCAUGAGUUCACAUGUCCGCAUGAUUAAAGGUAUUUUCCGGUAGACGAUGGGGAUGCGUUCCAUUAGAUAGUAGGCGGGGUAACGGCCCACCUAGUCAACGAUGGAUAGGGGUUCUGAGAGGAAGGCCCCCCACACUGGAACUGAGACACGGUCCAG
rnacentral:rRNA from 1 species